CUUGUGAGUGGCAAGUCGUCAUUCUUGAUGCUCCACAAAGCAAUCGUGUUUGUGUAGCGCUAUACCACAGCCAGUCGCUUCAGCCUCCGUGGAAGGACUGCUGCUCGUGGAAAGGCUGGAAGGAGCAGCCCAGCACUCUGAGGCAUGAGAUGAGUUUCCUGAACUGGAAUUUGCCCACGACAGAACUAAUCUACCCUUCAUAUGCACAGCAUGAGGUAUCUUGAAAGACACCUGGGACUCUGACUUCUGGCUGUACCUUCUUGGAAUAUGGACCUGCAUGGCAGCUAUGGAAAAUGUCAUCUGGUCCCAAAGCCAAAGGAAUUAAGGGGCUUUUCUUGGACACGGUACGUAUUGAAAAAGUACUUUGCAAAGUCUUUGCUUCCCUUCAGGACCUUGCUUUCAUUCAACUUUCCUCAUGAACCUUUCAUUGCUCCCCUACUACCUCCAGGAUGUAUCUUUACCUCCUCUUCACUGACUCCAUCUACAAAGGUAUAAGGGUGCCCUCACUCAGCGUCUCUCAUCUUCCUUGACUGACAGUAUUUUCACAGUGAUGCCUUAAGUUUCCAUCAGCAAUCUACCUGUCAGAAGAAGUUUUGUCCGCAGCUGCGUGAAUGUAACAGCUCCACUGGCUUUGAAUCAGGCCUGAGAAGAGGAAGAGAAGUUACUAGCACCUUUUCAUUAGCUUGUAAGGAAUGAAGCCUAUGUUUUAAACGGAAAGAGUAGAUCUAAGAUUGUCUGUGCCUCUACAAGUCUACUGAUAUAUUUAAGGGAGAGGACGGGCAGAACCUUCAGAACAACUUCUCACCUCUAGAAGAGGCCGAAGCUGACCGUAGUCCAGCUGUCGCAGCAGCAGCGAGGGAAUGAUCCACGUGCUAGUCCCACAUCACAGCCGCUGUGGCUAGCAAUGCGUGGACAUGAUGACAGAGACUGUCAGCUUAUGUCUGCAGGAAUCUUACACUCUGUGCCCCACAACAGCUGGCAAGUUCGGUGGUGGUCCAGGUUCAGCGGUGUGGGCACAAGGAAGAGCAAGGAGGGCUUCAAAACACUUUACGCACAGCCCGUGCUACCUACAGGGUUCACUGAUGGCAUCAAGUCACCCAAGAGCUUGAGGUUGCCAUAGCAAUGCGUGCCGAGGCCGGCCUCGCUCCAGCAGGACAAGAGCUAUGUGUUCUCCCUGCCAACAGCGAUUUGAUCCUCUGACGCACAGGCUGCCCCGUCCUCUGCCCUGUCCUCUCUUUCGCACCUCGGCAGUGAUUGUAACUGUUUGCCUUCGACAGAGAGAGGGUGAAGAAAAGCCACCGUGGGCGCUUGGCUCGGUGCGAGACAGAUUAACUGCAGGAGCGAGGACGUGAACCAGGGAGCCUGCUGUCGGCGUGUGCCGUCAGCAAAGCUGGCCUGAGCUGUGCUGUAUUUCAUGUGCUUUGCAUGUCCUGAUGGCUCAAAGGAGAUGGAGGUGACAUUUUGGAAAUGAAGGAUCCCGGCUGCCUAAUCACCUGCCGACACUGGAGUCGCUGUGGCUACCGGGACAAUCCAUCACGGCGCCGGCUCCCACGCGGCUGCCAGCUUCCAGCAUUACUGCAGCAGAGGGCAACUCAUUUGCCCGGUCGUCAGUAGGAAAUGCGAGGUGAAUUCAGGUUUGGCAGGUGCGUGUCUUCCAGGCAUUUCAAUCUUUCCUCUUGACAUGCUUACUACUAACCCCCCUGCUCCCACCCCAGGAGAGGACAAAUAAACUCUCAGGAUUUCACAAGUCAUCAUCAAAUUCACAGUAUGUCUUGACAAUUCCAAUUCUCUCCUUUUAUUAAAUUACUACCUAGGCACAGUUAUAAAGACUUUGAUGCCUUAAGAUUAACUGCAUUACUUCCUUCUCUUACCAGCCUGAUCUAUGAGGCCAAUUCAUCUCAAGCUGGUGGCAGAGCCCUGUGAAUGAAAGUGUGAGUGCUGGCACACCUGGUGACAAUGUUAACAGCUUCUGUGUACACAUGGGCUCUCAGGUGGUCAGUGGGACACACUACGUGAUCUGCUGUACUUCCCCGUCCUUCUGCAGGCAGGAAA